rnacentral:rRNA from 1 species
AUUGAACGCUGGCGGAAUGCUUUACACAUGCAAGUCGAACGGCAGCACGGACUUCGGUCUGGUGGCGAGUGGCGAACGGGUGAGUAAUGUAUCGGAACGUGCCCAGUCGUGGGGGAUAACGUAGUGAAAAUUACGCUAAUACCGCAUACGAUCUAUAGAUGAAAGCGGGGGAUCGCAAGACCUCGCGCGAUUGGAGCGGCCGAUAUCAGAUUAGGUAGUUGGUGGGGUAAAGGCCCACCAAGCCAACGAUGUGUAGCUGGUCUUAGAGGACGACCAGCCACACAGGAACUGAGACACGGUCCAGACUCCUACGGGAGGCAGCAGUGGGGAAUUUUGGACAAUGGGCGAAAGCCUGAUCCAGCCAUUCCGCGUGCAGGAUGAAGGCCCUCGGGUUGUAAACUGCUUUUGUACAGAACGAAAAGGUUUCUACUAAUACUAGGAGCUCAUGACGGUACUGUAAGAAUAAGCACCGGCUAACUACGUGCCAGCAGCCGCGGUAA